rnacentral:misc_RNA from 1 species
AACGCACAUUGCGCCCUCUGGUAUUCCGGGGGGCAUGCCUGUUCGAGCGUCAUUACAACCCUCAAGCUCUGCUUGGUAUUGGGUGCCACCUCUGGGUGCGCCUCAAAAACAGUGGCGGUGCCAUUCGGCUUCAAGCGUAGUAAAUUCUCUCGCUCAGGAGUCCGGGUGGCCACCUGCCAAAACCCCCAAUUUUUACAAGGUUGACCUCGGAUCAGGUAGGGAUACCCGCUGAACUUAA